CACACCUGUGAGCGAUCUGAAUCAGCAGCACUACAAAUACCUGGUCCUCCUGCCACUUCAGUGCCGGAUUGUUCCUUCGCCACGGGUGAUUAUAAUCGUCAAGUACUUAGUCAUCAAGUGUGUCUAAAGAUCAGAGUUUUUUCCCCUCAUGCCUAACGUGCUGUGUUUUUUCUCUCCGUGUGCAGCGUUCCUCCUGCUACCUGUUUUUUCACCAGGCGUCUUGGAGCUGGCUUCCUGGAUAUUUUUGUUUUGCUUCAGUUGUCUCCACAAUAAAUUGAUUGUACUCUUCAAUUUGUCUCCGUCUCAGCUCCUGGGUCCCUCUGUUGAGAGCACACCCUGACAGAACAAUCCGGCCACAUGGACCCUGCUGAGACUGAACGCCUCCGUCAAGCCCUCUCCACUCAAGGAGCCAUGGUUGGGCAACAUGAACAAACCCUGAAGGAAGUUGUGGAUGUUCUACAAGGGCUCUCUUCCAAGGUUUCCCAGCUUGGAGUCCACAUGGACCAGGUGGCCAAGCAGCUCACGGUUCUCUCUUCUGGACCCAGCCUCCCUGCUCCUCCUUUGUCUCCUCCACCAGCCCCACCUUUUUUCUACUGCACCCUCACGUGAGCCAUUCAUUCCCAUUCCUGCUAGGUUUUCAGGAGAUCUAGGUAACUGUGGUCAGUUUCUCCACCAGUGCUCUCUUGUUUUUUUAGUCAGCAACCCCACACCUAUCAGUCAGACCCUUCCAGAAUAGCCUUUGUUAUGAGUUUAUUAGUUGAUAGGGCAGCUCAGUGGGCAGCAGCCGUGUCACGCCAGGACUCCCCUGUUUGUCACUCUUACAGGCGGUUCUCUGCAGAAAUGCUAAGGAUUUUUGACCAUCCAGUCAGAGGUAAGGAGAUCGGUAACAGGCUCCUCACACUUCGUCAGGGCUCAAAGUCAGUUGCAAAUUACGCAAUAGAUUUCAGGAUUUUAGUGGCAGAGAGUGGGUGGGAUGACAUGGCUUUGCAGGGGGUGUUCACUAAGGGUUUAGCUGACAAUAUCAAGGAUGAGCUGGCAGCUCGAGAUGAGACCACCUCUCUUGAUGAUUUAAUAUCCCUAGCCACUAGUCUAGAUAACCGACUAAGGGAGAGAUGCAGGGAGAGACAAGCUAGUUUCCCUCCAGUUCCCCAGGCUCUUGCCAGAAGCCCCAGCACCCACUUAGUCAGUCCUUCUCCCCCACCCCCCAUCCCUGAAGAACCUAUGCAGCUUGGACGGAUGGGGCUAACACCAGCGGAACGCCAAAGAAGAUUCAGAGAGAGGCUCUGCAUAUACUGUGGACUCGCAGGUCAUGUGCGAGUAAAUUGUCCUGAGCUGUUAAACACCCAGGCUCAUCACUCUUCAGGGGGGCGCUGAUGAGCCGCACUGCCACCUCUUCUUCCCCCCUCUCGUCGUAUCCAUCUCCCGGGUUCUCUGCUAUGGCCACAGCACAAGUCACCACUGCAGACCCUACGACUGCCCCAUUGACCUGCUCCCUGGAGCAUCCCUGCCAACAAGCCGACUCUACAAUCUGUCCCGACCUGAGCAGGAUGCCAUGGAGAAGUACAUUAACGAGUCCCUGGCUCUUUGUCUCUCCCUGUGUUCAUUUGUUCAAGUCCAAGUCCAUCUGCUACAGAAAACCAUCCAUCGCUACAGUUUAUAUAAUGACAUAUCUGUUUAUAAAAUACCAUAUUUGUAUGCAGACACUUUGAGUUAUCCUUUGGUUUAAUCAGUCCUGAACGUGACUUGUAGAAUGACAUUCAAAUGUACUCAAGAUGCUAAACCGAGGCUUUCAAUGAUUUGCUCCUGAAAGAGAAUCAAAUAAUACGUGACGUCUCUAACAAAGUUUACACCACACCUACAAGUGCAAUGAGUUGAUAAUGGAAAAAGCUAUGAAUAAAGAAUUAAAUAUUCUUGUUCUUUG